rfam:Camelus ferus unplaced genomic scaffold scaffold14590, whole genome shotgun sequence.
GAAGGUAUAGCUCAAGUGGUAGAGCGCGUGCUUAACAUGCACGAGGUCCUGGGUUCAAUCCCCAGUACCUCCC